rnacentral:rRNA from 1 species
GAUGAACGCUGGCGGCGUGCUUAACACAUGCAAGUCGAACGGAGUUUGUUUUUACGAUCCCUUCGGGGUGACGAGGAUAAACUUAGUGGCGGACGGGUGAGUAACGCGUGGGUAACCUGCCCUGUACCGGGGGAUAACACUUAGAAAUAGGUGCUAAUACCGCAUAAGCGCACAGUGCCGCAUGGCACGGUGUGAAAACUCCGGUGGUACAGGAUGGACCCGCGUCUGAUUAGUUAGUUGGCGGGGUAAUGGCCCACCAAGACGACGAUCAGUAGCCGGCCUGAGAGGGUGAACGGCCACAUUGGGACUGAGACACGGCCCAAACUCCUACGGGAGGCAG